rnacentral:rRNA from 1 species
UAGGGAAUCUUCGGCAAUGGGGGCAACCCUGACCGAGCAACGCCGCGUGAGUGAAGAAGGUUUUCGGAUCGUAAAGCUCUGUUGUAAGUCAAGAACGAGUGUGAGAGUGGAAAGUUCACACUGUGACGGUAGCUUACCAGAAAGGGACGGCUAACUACGUGCCAGCAGCCGCGGUAAUACGUAGGUCCCGAGCGUUGUCCGGAUUUAUUGGGCGUAAAGCGAGCGCAGGCGGUUUGAUAAGUCUGAAGUUAAAGGCUGUGGCUCAACCAUAGUUCGCUUUGGAAACUGUCAAACUUGAGUGCAGAAGGGGAGAGUGGAAUUCUAUGUGUAGCGGUGAAAUGCGUAGAUAUAUGGAGGAACACCGGUGGCGAAAGCGGCUCUCUGGUCUGUAACUGACGCUGAGGCUCGAAAGCGUGGGGAGCGAGCAGGAUUAGAUACCCUGGUAGUCCACGCCGUAAACGAUGAGUGCUAGGUGUUGGGUCCUUUCCGGGAUUCAGUGCCGCAGCUAACGCAUUAAGCACUCCGCCUGGGGAGUACGACCGCAAGGUUG